rnacentral:snRNA from 1 species
GUGCUCACUUUGGCAGCACCUACACUAAAUUUGGGAUGAUACACAGAAGGCAGGCGUGGCCGCUGUGCAAGGAUGACCCUCAAAAGUUUGCAGCAUUCUGGAAUUUU